rnacentral:rRNA from 1 species
CUGAGAAACGGCUACCACAUCCAAGGAAGGCAGCAGGCGCGCAAAUUACCCAAUCCCGACACGGGGAGGUAGUGACAAUAAAUACUGAUACAGGGCUCUUUUGGGUCUUGUAAUCGGAAUGAGUACAAUUUAAAUCCCUUAACGAGGAACAAUUGGAGGGCAAGUCUGGUGCCAGCAGCCGCGGUAAUUCCAGCUCCAAUAGCGUAUAUUAAAGUUGUUGCAGUUAAAAAGCUCGUAGUUGAACUUUGGGUCUGGCUGCUUGGUCCGCCUAACCGCGUGUACUGGUGCGGCCGGAUCUUUCCUUCUGGCUAACCUCAUGCUCUUUACUGGGUGUGUUGGGGAUCCAGGACUUUUACUUUGAAAAAAUUAGAGUGUUCAAAGCAGGCCUAUGCUCGAAUACAUUAGCAUGGAAUAAUAGAAUAGGACGGCGGUUCUAUUUUGUUGGUUUCUAGAGCCACCGUAAUGAUUAAUAGGGAUAGUCGGGGGCAUCAGUAUUCAAUUGUCAGAGGUGAAAUUCUUGGAUUUAUUGAAGACUAACUACUGCGAAAGCAUUUGCCAAGGAUGUUUUCAUUAAUCAGUGAACGAAAGUUAGGGGAUCGAAGACGAUCAGAUACCGUCGUAGUCUUAACCAUAAACUAUGCCGACUAGGGAUCGGGCGGUGUUCAAUUUAUGACCCGCUCGGCACCUUACGAGAAAUCAAAGUCUU